CAGGCAUUCUCUAUGUUGCACCCUGAGAAGAGAGGAGAGUCCAGUUGUGUUACCAGCAAAACCACUUCCUGUUGCAUGUGUUGAGUAAGAAGCUUGCCCCAUUCCAGAGCUGGGAGGGACCCGCUACUCGGAACAAGUAAUACAGGUCAUUCCCAAUCCAAUAUGGCUGACCCCAUGGCCGCUCAGAGACUACAUUUCCCAGCCUCCCUUGCAGCAUUUCACCUAAUAGGAUGUGGCACAAAGUGAGGUGGGAAACUCCGGAUCUCAUCUUUUGUAAAGAGACUGCUUGCCUCGUCCUGUCUUCUCUCCUGCAGAGACUGGGGUGGGAUGGGCCAGCUUUGACCAUGUGCUU